GUUACAAACCUAACUGUGCUAAGUUAAGAGACAUUAUCAAAAUGACCCAGGAAUCACCUGAAAGGACUGGACAGCUCUGGAAAUGAGUGAAUGCAUCUUGUAAGCAAGGAGAAAACUAGAGGGAUCCGUCUGGGACUGAGUGCACCAAAACUCUUGUGUCUCUCACGAUUUAAGUUUUCUUGAAUAACUUCAUGGAAGCCAUGUACAUCUCUACUACAUCCUCUCAGGCACAUCGCUACCUGUUGGAUGCCCUGCACCCAGAGGAGACACCUGCAUACCUGAUGCUGCCCUGACUGAUUGGGGAGCUAAGUCUCUUGCAGCGGGCAUAUUUGGGAAUCCAUUGUUGCUGCACAUGUAAAUCAUGGCCUUCAAAUCCAGCUGACCCUGUAGCAGAAACACAGAUUGUGCUUUUGGUGCCUAGCCCUAGAC
rnacentral:lncRNA from 1 species